UACGUAGGGGGCAAGCGUUGUUCGGAAUUACUGGGCGUGAAGCGCACGUAGGCGGAUUUGUAAGUCAGGGGUGAAAUCCCGGGGCUCAACCUCGGAACUGCCUUUGAUACUGCAAAUCUCGAGUCCGGAAGAGGUGAGUGGAAUUCCUAGUGUAGAGGUGAAAUUCGUAGAUAUUAGGAAGAACACCAGUGGCGAAGGCGGCUCACUGGUCCGGUACUGACGCUGAGGUGCGAAAGCGUGGGGAGCAAACAGG
rnacentral:rRNA from 1 species